GACGAACGCUGGCGGCGUGCUUAACACAUGCAAGUCGAGCGGUAAGGCCCUUUCGGGGGUACGACGAGCGGCGAACGGGUGAGUAACACGUGGGUGACCUGCCCUCAGCUCUGGGAUAAGCCUGGGAAAACCGGGUCUAAUAACUGGAUAUGACUCCAUGACGCAUGUUGUGGGGUGGAAAGCCUUGUGCGGCUGAGGAUGGGCCCGCGGCCUAUCAGCUUGUUGGUGGGGUGAGGGCCUACCAAGGCGACGACGGGUAGCCGGCCUGAGAGGGCGACCGG
rnacentral:rRNA from 1 species